UAAUGAGAAGUUUGGAAGUUGCAUGACAAACUGCAGUGAGAACUAUUGCAUUGGCAAUGCUCUAGAGAAAGUUGCAGCUUAAGAACAACUAAUAAUAUUAAAAAGUAGAAUUAUGGCCACUAAGUAUGUGUCUAUGACACUAUGUUAUGUACUAAAUUAAAGCUACUAAAUGCUUUUGUGGUUGUAAUUUUCUAUGUUGUGUGUAAUUGUGUUGUAUUAAAUAAAACU
rnacentral:lncRNA from 1 species